AAUAAGAUAAGCUAAAUUUAUAAGCUGUUGGGCUCAUACCCCAAAAAUGAAGGAUUAUUCUCUUAUUG
rnacentral:tRNA from 1 species